AGAAAACUCAAUCUCCGCCUCCAUCGAUCAAAGAUCAGAUCAGAGGCGGACCCAAAAAAAAUUUAAACAGGGGGAAAAAAAAUCAACUUGAAGCGGUUUGAAGAUGUACACACAAAGAUCUACUUAUCUUGCAAACAUGUAUCUUCCAGCAACAAUUAAACCACAGUUAUUAUAGUAAACAAAACAUAGACAUUUUUUUUAAUAUUAUAAUUAGAUAACGGAUAACCACUUGUCUUUUCGAAGAGAUCAAAAGGAACAUAAACUAGGGAAAUACAAAUAAAGUAGUUCCAUUAAACAAUGACCAUCUAAUAAACAAUAACCUGUCAUGUACUCGGUAAUUGGCAACGACGGGAUCUCAUUGUUUGAAAUCUUUUCAAAAUGCUGUCAUUUGGAAUCGUUUGAAAAAUCUCUUUCUCAAUGUAUGUAACCAAACAAUCAUUCAACCAUUGGUCCCCAAUUUUGUUGCGGAAUCGAGUUUUCACAAUCUUCAUUGCUGAAAAUGAUCGUUCAACUGAAGCCGUUGAGAUGGGUAAAACAAAAACUAGUUUGAUCAGUCGAUAAACCAAGUGGUAAAUGAAAUUUUUCUUUGUCUCGACUAGCUUCAUUGCAAGGUAUCCAACUCCCUUUAAACCAGAAAAAUGAGCACUAGAUUUCUUAUCAAAAAUAUACGUUUCAAGCUGAUUCUCAAGAACAAGUAUGUAUGUUUUAGAAAAGUCUGAGGGAUAAAGUUGGGCUAAGAUAACCAAUUUCUCCUUCUUGAAAGAUGAGAAAGAAUCAUCGUGGUUCAAGCAAGCCAUACAAAGUAGCAAUUCAGUAGUGGUUUCAUUAAAUCUACUUCUAAGUUCUUGAAGCACCCAAUCUAUCACAUUUUUAAAUAACUCAUUUUCAUAAUGAUGAAGGUUCGUCACUUGCUGAGCUACACGACGAGCCCUACCUCGAGUGUCAUUAACCUUUGUUUCCGAGUGUCAUUAACCUUUNAAGACAUCAUCCAUCUUUGGAAUAGCAAUACUAUACUUUUCGCAAAAUAAAUAAACUUCUUUGACCAAUGAUUCCCACCCUUCGUUUCUCAGUGUCUUUAACCUUUGUUUUGAAAUACCAACUAGUUCCAUAGCAUUCACUAUAUCUUGAUUUUUCCUCUGUAAUGCCAAUGAUAACUCGUUAGUAAUUCCAAGUAUACUUUUCAUCAAGAUCAACGCAAAAACAAAAUCAAAAGAUUGUGUCCAAUCCAACAAUAUGACUGCUUCUGCCUUUUGCUCAGAGCUCCCACAAUCCUCAACAACAUACACAAGCACCUCAAUUAUAGAAGAAAAUAAGAUACUGAUGUUCAACAAUGUUACGUAAUGAGAUCCCCAUCAUGUAUCGGUUUCCCUUUGAAGAGUAUAUUCUUGAUUUAACCCUUUACUAGUUUCAAUUUCACCAAUAUCUAUUGCUUCUAGGAUCUUCUCAGCUUGUUUCUCACGAAGCAGAUAUUUAUGCUUACAAGAGGCUCCAACAACAUUCACUAACUUGCUAAUCAUAGUGAAAAGCAAAGCAAUGUCAACAUGAUUCUUAGCUACAGCAACAAGAACCAGCUGGAGUUGAUGUUCGAAGCAAUGGACAUAAAAUGCAGAGCUGUUAUUCCUCAAAAUCAGACUCUUGAGACCAUUAAACUCACCUCGCAUAUUGCUAGCUCCAUCGUAGCCUUGCCCACGAAUUCGUGACACAGUAAGCUUGUAUGUUGCAAGUAAUAAAUCAAUGGCUGCUUUCAAGGACAAAGAUUUAGUAUUUGGUACAUGUACAAUCCCAAGAAAGCGUUCAAUUACGUAACCUUUUUUUUCUACAUAUCGAAGUACAAGUGCCAUUUGUUCUUUCGUAAAGACAUCACGACAUUCAUCAACCAAAAUAGAAAAGUAGUCAUCCCCAAUAUCUUCAGUUAUAAGCUUACUAGUUUCAAUUGCACAAGACGAUGCUAUAUCUAUUUGGAUUUUAUGAUAGUACAACUUGUUGUUUUUUGGAGCAUUUUGCAAGAUGAAUUUUCUUGUUUCUUCAUUGUGGUCCGCCAAAAACUUCAACAACUCUCUAAAGUUGCCCUGAUUACUUGAAAGUUCUGACUCGUCAUGGCCCCAAAAUGCUAAACCUUGAUGUAGAAGGUAUCGAACACAAUCAACAGAAGCGAUUAAUCGAGUCUUAUACUCAAUUUGGAUUUGAUCAGAUUGCUUAAUAAACGAAUACGCAAUGUGCUAAUUUUGAUUCAUCAAAUCUUCACAUUUUUGUCGGUCUUAAUUGUGAGCACUCCCUGGACCACUAAUAUGAAUUUUAAAACUUUCCGGCUUUUACCAAUUAUUGAAUCCUUCGGUUAUGAAAGAUUUGUCAUCACUUGCUUCGACAUCAUCAUCACAUAAAUAACAAUAUAAGCAGAAUGCAGCAUCUUCCGUCACGCUGUAUUCUAACCAAGGUUUGUAUAAAUCCAAAUCGAACCAACCACGAAUAAAUCUCCUUUUUGUAGGGCAUAAAACCCAAUUAUUUGAAUUUGAAAAAUAAUAAUAAACAAAGUAACCCGGCAUGAAGGAUGAAUCAAUGGAAAGUAAAGUCAGACACAAAAAUCAAAACUAUAAGUCUGUAAAUAAAGCAGAAUCAAUUUGUUGUCGUGAGAAGUGAGAAGUGAAAGAGGCAUGCUUUCUUUUUAUUUAUUUAUCCUUCUUAUCUUUUGACUGUGCGAAUAAAGCCACCAAUACUAAAACUUUUACCCUCCUUAAUUUCUUAUUCUUUUUCAAAAAAAUUCAAAGAGAUAUUUUAAAAAAAGAAUAUUUUUUUUGUUGUGGGGGCAGCUGCCCCCAUUGCCCCCACUGUGAGUCCGCCUCUGGAUAAGAUGCAGAUAAAUCAAACGGAUUCUAUUUCAAACACCUUAGAUUAAACACCUUUUGUUGGUGUCGAUUACAAAUCACAACCAAGGUAGUGAAAUUAAUCCAACUAUGAUGCUAAGAUUCAACACAUAUCUCCAUCUAUUGUUCAUAUUUCUUCAUUAUUGUAAAAAAAUCUGAAUAUUUACAUAUAAUCACUUACAUGUUCAAUAUGCAAUAUGCAGGAAUAUUCUGUUUGAAAAUGAUAGCUUAAAGUCGUUCUCCGGAAAACGGAAAUGAAGACCGGUGUAUUUGAAAAGAUCGGGUACUUUGAAAAUUUUCAUCGAAAAUAACUCUUCAAUUUUGAAAAUCGAAAAUGCUAAAAAUUAGGUGAUUAUUGCUGGUCUUAUAUAUAUUCAAAACUAAAAAUAACUUUAUUUUAAUGAUUUAUCUUCCAUAUUUUGUGAAUACAAGCUCAAUCUACAAAGAAAUUUAGCUUAAAUUCAACUUAAACUAUAAAUGUAUAUGACAAAAUUGGAGAUUAAAUUGAAAUACAAAAAAGAAAAAGGAUUUAAAAUGUAUGGUAUUGAAAAACAUGUGUAGUGUAAAAUCGUUUAUGUAGUUUUUUAGUUGAUUUGGUUAACAUAUGAGUAUUCUGUUUUUGACGGUUUAAUCCAAAGAAUUAAUGAUUUUAUUAGGAGGGAUGUGGUUUUGAUUAACAAUAUGUUGUUUUUGCAUGUUCAAGAGCAAAUGCUACUGUUAUCAUUAUAAUAUUACUUGUAACAUAUCUUUAUAUUGGAAGAGUAUGAUACCUGUUAUGUUGGGCAAAGGAGAGCUUAAAGGAAGGAUGUUGAUUAGAUAAUUUGUCUAUUUUAUGGUUUUUGGGUAAGUUGUAUGUUGUUACCCCUUAUUAUAUUCUUCUGUUCUAUAAUUGGUUGCUGGGGUAUAUGUGAUAGUGAGAGAAGGAUCAUUAGAUUUAUUUAUUGCUAUUAUAGGGAGAUUAUAUACAAGUUUUGUAAUAAAAAAGGGCAAAAGUGUCUAGAUUUGUUAAUAAAAAAAUAUGCAUAUUUUUUAUUAGUAUAUAACACAUAAACAGAAAAAAAAAUUAAAACAAUAUAAAUAAGAGUAAUGUCAUAAACAUAUGCAAAAGUAGGUUGCCCUAUUAGGAUUAAUGUCAUUGAAUAACAUAUAAAUAUAAAUUGAAGAAUGCAAUAAUUUCAGUUUAUUGUUAUAAAAGGGCAUAAUUGUCCAUUUCUGUUACAACAAAAUAUAGGAAAACUAAUCCCUAUUCUAAUAAAAGAAUAGUUUUAAUAUCAUUUUGACAUGUGUCAUCAUAUUAGGCUUCUUAAUUAAUACAUAUUUUAUUUAUUUUUUGCCAUGUGUCACCAUAUUAGGCCACUAAUUAAUGCAUACCACUUGUCAAUCUAUUAAUUCUCCAUUUCAAAUUUCAAAUUUCAAAUUUCUCACUCUAAUUAAGUUAAAUUAAUAACAUUAGAAUAAAAUUAAAAUAAAAUUAAUACAAAUUAUAGUUGAUAUAAUAUUUCAUAUAUUUAUUUAAAUUAGCGAUUAUAAUUUUAUAUAACUAAAAAAAUAUAUUUUAAUUAGUAAUUUAUUUAAAAUAAUUAAUUAAUAAUUCUUGAACUUUCACUAAGAAAAUUUAAUUAAUUUUAUAACUGUGGUUUCCACGGGUUAUAAACUAGUUUUUAUUAAAAUAUAACACAAACAGAAAAUUUUAAAUAAACAAACAAUUACAAAAUAAGAUUAAUGUCAUAACCAAAUGCAAAAGUAGGUUGCCCUAAUAGGAAUAUCAUUAAUGUCACAAAAAUUAUAUAAUGUCAUUUUUUUGUCAUGGAAUAACACAGAAACACGAAUUAAACAACACAAAAAUUUAUGUUUUUUGUUAAAAAAAAGAAUGGCAACUUUAUUCUAAGAUAAACUAAAAGGACGUAAUUGUCAUUUUCAGCAAAAACUGAUGUAGACUAAAUAGUAUAAAAUAUGUCUUUGGUUGUGAUACAGGAUACUGGUCUAAGCAUCAUUAAUAGUAGGAUGUCCUUAUAAUCAAUAUCAUUUAGUAUAUUGUAUAGAGUUUAUAGAGAAGAAAUGUACAGAAGGAGAAGAAUAUAUAAAUAAUCAAAAUAAGAACACACAAUUUGUUAGAAUUACACGUAGAGAAUGAAACAGGGAUGGUUUACCAGAAUUGCAGAGUCUUUUUGGGUUUAGAUAUGAAUACGAAUACGAAACAACUAAAAAAGACGGCAAAGCCUAGAAACUUUUUAGGGAUAAAAUUGUAAUCGAUUUGAUUCCUAUUAUGAAGCAUAUAUAUUUGGAAAAUGAUAAAGUAAUUUAAAAAACAUUGCUGAUUUUAUGCAAUAUCAUAUCAUAAUCAUAAUGUUUGAUAUUUAAAUUAAAAUUUUUAAUGCAUGUUGAAUAUGGUAACCGAAUUGCUGAUUUAUAGGAGUUUGUGUGGAUUCGUCAAAGAAACAAUGGGCGGGAAAACGUUGAUAACACAUUUGUGGAAUGAACACGCGGAAUGAAGGAGAUCUAAAAAGGGCCACGUGUACUCCUUAGGAGUCUUUUAUUAGGAUUAUNNNNNNNNNNNNNNNNAUAUAUAAAAUAAGCUUGCUACUAGGUGUUGAAAUAAGUGGGACCAUGAAGACAUUACUAGAUUUUUUGCCCCGUAAUAUCCUUUAGGAAUGGACUUGGUAUUUUUUAAUGUCUCACGAAAUGUUGUUAGUUUAUAGUUGGUUUAUGUAUAUAUCUUUUGCAU
rnacentral:lncRNA from 1 species